rnacentral:rRNA from 1 species
GAUGAACGCUGGCGGCGUGCUUAACACAUGCAAGUCGAACGGAAAGGCCCAAGCUUGCUUGGGUACUCGAGUGGCGAACGGGUGAGUAACACGUGGGUGAUCUGCCCUGCACUUCGGGAUAAGCCUGGGAAACUGGGUCUAAUACCGGAUAGGACGAUGGUUUGGAUGCCAUUGUGGAAAGUUUUUUCGGUGUGGGAUGAGCUCGCGGCCUAUCAGCUUGUUGGUGGGGUAAUGGCCUACCAAGGCGUCGACGGGUAGCCGGCCUGAGAGGGUGUACGGCCACAUUGGGACUGAGAUACGGCCCAGACUCCUACGGGAGGCAGCAGUGGGGAAUAUUGCACAAUGGGGGCAAGCCUGAGGCAGCGACGCCGCGUGGGGGAUGACGGCCUUCGGGUUGUAAACUCCUUUCGCUAGGGACGAAGCGUUUUUGUGACGGUACCUGGAGAAGAAGCACCGGCUAACUACGUG